rnacentral:rRNA from 1 species
UACGGAGGGAGCUAGCGUUGUUCGGAUAUACUGGGCGUAAAGCGCACGUAGGCGGCGCCGUAAGUCAGGGGUGAAAUCCCGGAGCUCAACUCCGGAACUGCCUUUGAAACUGCAGUGCUAGAAUCCUGGAGAGGCGAGUGGAAUUCCGGGUGUAGAGGUGAAAUUCGUAGAUAUUCGGAAGAACACCAGUGGCGAAGGCGACUCGCUGGACAGGUAUUGACGCUGAGGUGCGAAAGCGUGGGGAGCAAACAGG